AAUGGAUAAAGAAGAUGUGGUAUACAUAUACAAGAAAGUUGAGCCUGGGGAAACUCAUAUUUCAGGGUGUUUUGGCUGUGUCAGUAAGUGCUAUACAUCACAUCUAGCGUAGUUAUAUGGCAUAUUUUAAUAAAAAGGUCAGUAUGAAACUGUCACAAGAAGUGUGAUUUACUAACAUGCUGGUAAGCAUUAGACUGGGAUGUAUCAAUGGAAAUUGAAAUGUUAUAAAAAUGGGCAGUGGACUCUCUCUAUAGUUCUGAUAUGGUGCUUCUACACUCAGGUCCAGAAUGAUUGUUGCCCCAGAGGUCAUGGAAAAGCUGGGAUAACUAACUCCAUUGUGAAUUUGUAAGUCCUCAAGUGAUGGAUUCCUGGUGCUAUGUAGGUCAGGCCAUAAUAUCUAGUGGAGAUACAGGUAUGCAAGUCAUCUGGGAACACUUAUCCAUUUUAGGCACUCAGGAAGCACAUAAUGGAUUUCAGUAAGAACAAACAAAGACCUCGGGAAAGUCCCAAUGCUGUGCCCACCCUAGGAACUUGAAUUUAUAAGGCAUAUAUGUAAUCAGAUCCUCUAAUGAGUCUGAUCAAGAAAAGUACGUUGCAGGAGUUAAUCGUUCGCUGUAUCCAAGUGCUAUAAACCAGUGGUUAUAUGAGGCUGGGAAAGGUGUGAAAAAUACUAUCCCUGAGGAGAUAUCUGUUAGGAAUGUUCCAUCUUAGAUUCCAAGAUUUGCUGGUCAGGAACACACCAAGUUGUACAUAAAAGGGAUUUAUUAUGACCUCUUUUUGUACCCUUGAGUCUGCUUGCCCUAAGCCAGCAUCGAUUCAUCUUACAGCUCUUGCACAAAUAUCUAGUUUUCUUACAUUCAGCCACCAUUCCAUUAGCCCUGAUCCAGAGAGUCAGGUGUUAGAAAAUCCCAGUGGUGUUCAAAGCAUUUUUGACAAUGACAUUGGAUUCCUGGUACCAAAGGCUGUUAAAUUUGGGGUGAAAAGAUCAUUACCAAUAGAAACAAUAAAAUCUGACGUCUAACUGUAAAAGUGCAGGAUUGAGCAGCUUUCCUGGACACAGUCAGCAGUUAGGUAUGUGCCAUAUGUUACUGUGCAUGGUGUUAAGUUCUCAAGAUAUCAAUCAUUUUACUCCUGAAUUUCUACUGACAAUUUCUUCCACUCUGGUAGCUAAUUUUUGGUGCCCUUUCUUCUUUUAAAGGACAAGGUGACAUUGAAUGAAAAAGAAGGCUGUUUGGAUGGGCAAGCGUGGCAACAUUGAUUUUACUUCAUGGUGAUGUGUCUGUCCUAGGUAGAAUGGUUAUGUAAUCUAAUCAAAGUUCAUACUGAAUACAAGAUCUUUUGAGAAUUCAAGAACUAGUGUAAAGAAAAAUAUUGCUUUGCAAAUAUCACUAUUUCAGUUCCCUACUUCUUUCACAUGUGAAAAAAGAAGUUGAGGAAAUAGAGUAAAUUAGUGUGAAAAUUCACCAAGUGAAUCUUGUUUAAAAAGCGAGAUUUUUCCCUUUGGUGCUGGAAUAGUUCUCUAGCAUCUUCCUUUCUCAGCCCCCUCUCAUUCCCACCGUAACCAUGGCUUCUCAUCUAGAGACAGGACAUCUGUGACUUCAGACCCAGUGUAGAUCUCAACUUCUUUGAUACUCUCUGAAUUUCUCCUUGCUCACCAAUUUUUCUCUUUUUCUAUAUUUUUAUCCUGGUUCUUUUCUAUACAAUAAGUCAGUCUUGAUUAAUUCAUGGUGCAGGUAUCCAGCCUGAAACCAAAAAUAUCUAGGUGGCAGAGCUAAUCAACCAACUCCUAUUAAUCAAGCAACUACUGGCAGCCUAUUAGUGCCUGUCCCUAAAGCACCGAUUCCCAAACUUGAGCCUUGGGUCUAGAGGUUACCCUAAAAUUGACAUGUACGUAGAACAGCUAUUUAGAAUUCAAAAUGUUUAUCAGAAGCAGCACACUUUCCUAUUUUAAGACUGUACCGUCUAACGAAAGCAUCGUUUAUUUUUGGCUGGAGAUACAGUCUUUGUGAUCUCAAAUGGAUCAUAAACUCCAGUUGUAUGAAUUUGGGGUAUAUCUUGUUGCAUAUUUACUUGAUUAGAUUGUACAUAAUAAAAAAUGGAAAAUGCAUUGUCACUUAGUCAAAUGUCCAUAAAUGUUGAGGAGAAUAUCCAUAGAACCUUGGAAAUGAAUAUUCUAGAGAGAUUUUGUGCAUGUGUGCGUGCGUGCAUGCUUAUUAGCCUCCUAGAAGCAGGGGCAGUCCCUUAGAAUGUGGGUGACUCCGUGGGCACUGGUUUUCUCCCUUGAUUUCUUACGCAAAUGCUCAUGGUAUUAUUUUGUUCUUUUUUAUGGCUGAGUAUAUGCACCACAUGCUAAUCCUGCCGUUUGCAGCGACAUGGAUGGAACUAGAGAUUCUCAUACUAAGUGAAGCAUGUCAGAAGAGAAAGACAAUUACCAUGUGAUAUCACUUGUAUGUGCAUCGAAAAUAUGGCACAAAUGAAUCUAUCUACAGAACAAAAACAAAUCAUAGAGAACAGACCUGUGCUUGCCAAGGGAAAGGGGUUUGGGGGUAGUAGAUCAAACUAUUGCAUUUGGAGUGGAUAAGCAAUGAGGUCCUGCUGUAUAGCACAAGGAACUAUAUCCAGUCACUUGUGAUGGAACAUGAUGGAAGCUAAUAUAAGAAAAAGAACCUGUAUACAACUGGGUCACUUUGAUGUACAGCAAAAAUGGCCAGAACCCUGUAAGUCAGCUAUAAUAAAAAAAAUAACAAGAAUGCAGGGAGUUCCUGUCGUGGCUCAGCAGAAAUGAGUCUGACUGGGAUCCAUGAGGAUGCAGGUUCAAUCCCUGGCCUUGCUCAGUGGGUUAAGGAUCCGGUGUUGCCGUGAGCUGUGGUGUAGAUCUCAGAUGCAGUUUGGAUCUGGCAUUGCUGUGGCUGUGGUGUAGGCCGGCGGCUAUAGAUUCGGCCCCUAGCCUGGGAACCUCCAUAUGCCGCAGGUUGGUCCCAAAAAGCAAAAAAGAAAGAAUGCAAACAAAUGCUCACGGGCAGAUGGUUUUCCAAAGAAAUAUAUUUCUCAAAAUCGUGUUCCAUCUUAAAAUGUAGAUGGAACUAAGAAAAUGGUGUAAUAAUGAUGUGAUUUACUAUUUUGAAGAAAACGCCUCCUUUCGUGGAAGCUCACUUCAGAUAAAGAGUCAUCGUUGCUCAUCAGACAUUGAUUGAGGAAACUAUUGCCACACAGUGAUGGCUGGGGCAGUGUGCUGCCGUUUUAUUUUAGAACAUGAAUAGCAACGUAAAAAUAGGAAAGAAUCCCUCCCGUUCAGGGAACUUCCUGCACUUUCCUUAGUCUUACAGUCUUACCAGGACGUCACUGCUCUGCCUCAACUGAGAGGGGUCGCAAAAGACGAACGGGUGGGAAGAGUUGCGUCUCUUCUACUCGGUAAAACGGUGCGGUGAGAACGCGAAAAGCUGAAUCUCCUUGUCUCCCUGUUUUCAUCAGGGCUCUUUGCCACAGAGGCGAUCUUCCUUCACCUUAACCCUAGGCUUAAAAUUAGGAAACACUGCUUGAAAAGAAAGUAAUAAUGAAAACAAAAGGUCAGCCUCAGGAUAGGUGCGUUCCCCGCCUAAGCGCGUGAUCGCCACCGAACUUGGGAUUUCCGCGUGUCUGUCUCCUCUGCGAAGAUGCCAUGGUUGGCAGUCUUGUGUUUUUGUUUUCAAGCUUUUUAUUUUGGGAUAGUUUUAUAUUUAUGGAGAAGUUAGAAAAAUCGUACAGAGAGUUACAGUAUAUCCUUUACCCAGCUUCCUCUAAUGUUGAUAUUUUGCUUAGUUAGGAUACAUUUAUCAAGUCUAAGGGAUUAGCAUCAGUACGUUAACAUAACUAAACUCUGGAGUUUAUUUGGAUCUCCAGUUUUUCCAGGAUGUCCUUUUUCUUUUCCAGGAUCCUUUCAAGGAUCCACACUAAACUCUGUCAUUAUAUUUCCUUAGCCUUCUCUGGUCUGUGACUGUUUUUCAUAACCUGGAAUCUCUAAUGGAAUUUAUUAUGUACUAUUUAGGUGGCCUAUAAACUUUUCAUUUACCACAUGUUCAAGGAAGAUUUUUUUUCCUUGUUUCUGUUUCUGAAACCUUUCUCCCUAUAUCGAUCCAAGUUCCUUUUACAUCCUCAGAUCAACCCAGUUUGUGUUGUUUUAUUUUAUUUAUUUUUAGUAUAUUCUUUUUUUCAUUCUCAGCUAUGCUCCUUUCCCCAUGCCCCCAGAAAUAUUUAAAUCUUCGCUCAUGAUGAAAUAAUGGGAAACUGUCUUCUGUUUAAAGUUGUGGACCAGAAGAAUUUCUCUUCAGAGAGAAAAACAGCUGUCUUCUGAAAAGAAAUUUGACAAUUAUCAGUCUGCCCCAGUGAACCAAAAUGCAUUGCAAAGAGCUGUCAAAAAGAAUUUGAGUGUAGAGAUAAAUUCCCGUUCUCAGUGAAAGGUUGGUGUUAAUCAGCUUGAAAUUGCCCAGGGAUCUGCUCCGACAUUACCUGACUGCAGUUGGUGUAACAUGAAGGGAACACGUGGCAAUAUUUAUACACGGAGCUAUGGUAUUUUCAUAGAUGGCUUCAAUAGACGUCUGUAUUUUGACUUGUAUUUGACAUGUUAGAAGACAGACAUCACAGCCCACACAUCAUGUGCUCAAUGAGGAGCGUAAAUCUCUGAUUCUCUUUCUUUCAAGAGGAUGUCUUUGACGAACCUUUAAGGAUAUCUCAAGUUUUAAGACCAUCACCACUGCUAUUUAUCACACUAGAGUUUCCAAAGAUACAUAACUUUUUAGUGAAGUUGAACAGCAAGCAAUUAGUUGCCUUCCACCACCCCACCCUUUUGGAGAUGGGCAAUAUUAUUAUUCACAUGAAAACCAGGCAUUGAUGCAAAAAAAAAAAAAACCUACAUUGGUGAUAAUGGGGCAUUUUCCCCAGGGACAGGCACCAUUGAUUUCCUUAAUGGGACCAAGGGCGGGAUAAAGUCAAGUUCUGGGUCAGAAUGAGUCAAUAAGUCAUGUUUUGCUCACAUGUAGUCCAGAGCAAGAUUCAGUUCAAUUGAGCAAUUACUGAGUAAUAAGAGUGUAAUGCCAGCCAAUAUUUUAUAAGAUGUAAACUCCUACUUUAUUUUACCUUAAUAAUUGAUGAGGAAAUCUAAACUUUAUAUUUACACAAAUCAAUACAAAGGAACCUAGGGAAUCAUGUCUUCAGAUUCAGUGCAUUUCAGGACCCUUAAGCUGUUUUAUGUUCAAUUCAGUGAAUGCACCUUCCAAAAACUUGGAUUUCCGUCUUGCACAAGUUUGCUUCUAAGGAGGUAUAUUCACUCUCCUCUAUGCUAUUAUUUCCUUUUUAGAUAAAUGUUUUGUAUUUAGCCAGUGAACAUCUUAUUAAGAAUUUUAACUGAAUACCUACUGUCAUAUCCUGGGAUUUGGUGGGACAUGUGGGUAGAGCAGGGAUCUACUCGCUGAAGCUGGACAAGCACUGAAGUCGUUAAUAGCCUGUAGAGGUCACUGUUUAGAGGGGUCAGUUUGGUGAUCAGACGGAGCAUCCAGGGGUUUCAGAAAUCUCUGUCACAAUCCAAUUAGUAGUGGAGACAUUAUAUGAAGUGAUGAAUAAGAGGAUCCAGUUCCAUCAGAGGGAGUCCUGUAGAAAGGGAGCUAUGCUUGGAUUGAGGAUGAAUUUAGCAAACAUUUGUCUUGAAAGUGUGUACUUGGACAUAAAGGCCCUGCUUAUUAUUGGCACACUGAGGAGCAGAUUUUCACCUAGAAGCUCACAACGAAGGGCUAAGAUAGAAGUUCAGGAACUGAGGUCCAUGGAGAUGAGAGGAACUUAGGGAUUGAGAAAAAGGUAGGAGUUCAUUUUUCAAAUCUAUGGAGCAUGUGCAAGUUCAGGACCUCUCAGAGAUAGAUAUCAGGGCAAAACUAAAAGGUCAAGAAUUUCAUUAGAAGAAGUGGCUGUGAGAGAAAAUGGAAGGGGGAGCUUCGAAAGCUUAGCACAGCCAUUCGAUUAGACGCAGAUCUGACCCAGAAGAGGAGAGAGGGAAAAGAGCUUGGACAGAAGCACCUUAAACUUCCAUGCAACCUAGUAAUGGUUUUGCAGGGCUCCUUGGGAAUCAUCAAGUUAUCGUCAACGAUAAGAAGCCUUCUAGAGUUCCCAUGGUGGUGCAGUGGAAAUGAACCCAACUAGCAGCCUUGAGAAUGCGGGUUCCAUCCGUGGCCUUGCAAAAUGGGUUAAGGAUACGGCAUUGCUGUGAGCUGCGGUGUAGGUUGCAAACACGGCUUGGAUCUGGUGUUGCUGUGGCUGUGGUGUAGGGUGGCAGCUGCAGCUCCAAUUCAACCUCUAGCUUGGGAACU
rnacentral:lncRNA from 1 species